rnacentral:rRNA from 1 species
UGCAAGUCGAGGGGAAACGAUAGAGAAAGCUUGCUUUUUCUAGGCGUCGACCGGCGCACGGGUGAGUAACGCGUAUCCAACCUGCCCACCACUUGGGGAUAACCUUGCGAAAGUAAGACUAAUACCCCAUGGUCUCCACGGAUGGCAUCUGAAAUGGAGUAAAGGUUUCGGCCGGUUGCGGAUGGGGAUGCGUCUGAUUAGCUUGUUGGCGGGGUAACGGCCCACCAAGGCGACGAUCAGUAGGGGUUCUGAGAGGAAGGUCCCCACAUUGGAACUGAGACACGGUCCAAACUCC